UGAGGUAGUCUCUGUCCUUUUCC
rnacentral:misc_RNA from 1 species